rnacentral:rRNA from 1 species
AUUGAACGCUGGCGGCAGGCCUAACACAUGCAAGUCGAAUGGUAACAGGAAACAGCUUGCUGUUUCGCUGACGAGUGGCGGACGGGUGAGUAAUGUCUGGGAAACUGCCUGAUGGAGGGGGAUAACUACUGGAAACGGUAGCUAAUACCGCAUAACGUCGCAAGACCAAAGAGGGGGACCUUCGGGCCUCUUGCCAUCAGAUGUGCCCAGAUGGGAUUAGCUAGUAGGUGGGGUAACGGCUCACCUAGGCGACGAUCCCUAGCUGGUCUGAGAGGAUGACGAGCCACACUGGAACUGGGACACGGUCCAGACUCCUACGGGAGGCAGCAGUGGGGAAUAUUGCACAAUGGGCGCAAGCCUGAUGCAGCCAUGCCGCGUGUAUGAAGAAGGCCUUCGGGUUGUAAAGUACUUUCAGCGGGGAGGAAGGGAGUAAAGUUAAUACCUUUGCUCAUUGACGUUACCCGCAGAAGAAGCACCGGCUAACUCCGUG